GACUGUGCUAAGGUAGCAUAAUCAAUAGGCUUAUAAUUGAAGUCUGGUAUGAAGGAAAAUUUGGGAGCUAACUGUCUCUUUGGGAAUAUUUGAAUUUUUUUAUAAAGUGCAAAAACUUUAAAUUAAUUAUUAGACGAGAAGACCCUAGAAAUUUUUUAAAUUAUUUUGUUGGGGCGACAAGGUAACAGUUAAACUUACCUAUAUAUAUUUGAAGCAUUAAGGCGGUAUAGAGAAAUUACUCUAGGGAUAACAGCAUAAUUUAAUAAAGUUUGUGACC
rnacentral:rRNA from 1 species